rnacentral:rRNA from 4 species
UAUUUUAUUAGAGCGUCGCAAUGACUCUCGGCAACGGAUAUCUCGGCUCUCGCAUCGAUGAAGAACGUAGCGAAAUGCGAUACUUGGUGUGAAUUGCAGAAUCCCGUGAACCAUCGAGUCUUUGAACGCAAGUUGCGCCCGAAGCCUUUCGGCCGAGGGCACGUCUGCCUGGGCGU